CAAUUUUAAACAAAAUUAAACCCGAAAAGAAAAAAUGCUUUUGCAAGAAAGCCCUCCGAAAUAACUUUUUCCAGUAGAUCCGUCCUUCCUUUUAUGAACCAGCCCUGACUCUUACACUUAAGUCCCUCAAAGAUUUCCCACCUCACACUUAAACCUAGACAUUUAACGGAAAACCCCCUGGAGUUCUAUUUCCUUCACACCCAACACCCCGCCUCCUUCUUCUACCUCGGUCACGCACGCCCGCGCGGCGGCGGCGGCGCCCCACCCCGGUGACUACCCCGAGAGCCUCCCGACACUGAGGCGCACCCACUCCCCUAGUUUUUACCUUAGAACCUAAACCUUAGCUAUUCCGGCAGUGAGCGGCGGCGCACGCCCGGUGGCAUGCACGAGAACGCGCGUGGAAAC
rnacentral:lncRNA from 1 species